GUGAAUCAUCAAAUUUUUGAACGCAAAUUGCACUCCCUGGUAUUCCGGAAAGUAUGCCUGUUUGAGGGUCAGUUAAAUAAAAAAUGGUGUUGUUGCUAUUUUUAGUGGGGUGUGAUGCAUCGGAAUUGAGUCGUCUUUUACAUUUGGUUUAUGUGCAUUAAAAUUAUGUUUGCUUCUAUACCGUAUU
rnacentral:misc_RNA from 1 species